GACGAACGCUGGCGGCGUGCUUAACACAUGCAAGUCGAACGGAAAGGCCCUGCUUUUGUGGGGUUCUCGAGUGGCGAACGGGUGAGUAACACGUGAGUAACCUGCCCUUGACUUUGGGAUAACUUCAGGAAACUGGGGCUAAUACCGGAUAUGAGCUCCUGCUGCAUGUUGGGGGUUGGAAAGUUUCGGCGUUUGGGGAUGGACUCGCGGCUUAUCAGCUUGUUGGUGGGGUAGUUGAUUACCAAGGCUUUGACGGGUAGCCGGCCUGAGAGGGUGACCGGCCACAUUGGGACUGAGAUACGGGCAAGAGUCAUACGGGAGGAAGGAGUGGGGAAUAUUGCAAAAUGGGCGGAAGCCUGAUGCAGCAACGCCGGGUGGGGGAUGACGGCCUUCGGGUUGUAAACCGCGUUCGCCUGUGACGAAGCGUGAGUGACGGUAAUGGGUAAAGAAGCACCGGCUAACUACGU
rnacentral:rRNA from 1 species